GGUGUCCCUGGGGAAGAGGUGCAGAAAAGAAGGCAAUUUGGGAUCAAAGGAGGCUUCACUCUGGACGUAGUGCCCACUUGGGGAUGACAAUGAACUUGGUUUUGCUCACUGGGGCCUGAGCUAGCACCAACCUGGUAGAAAAAGCAACCACGAAGCCAGAGAGGGAAGAGAGCUCCAGACAGCGAUGAAAAGGAACCACGCGGUUAAAAAAGGGAAGAUUCGGGGGAGUGGAGAGGGAAUUAUCCGAGAUCACAGGACGAACGCCCCAGAAGGGGAGAAGACGGAAUAACCGCGCGCGGAUGCCGGGACAGCACCGGGCCCUGGCUCUGGCUCCGAUUCCUGCCCGCCACUGCCCCACACGCUGAGGGCUGGGCCCUCCAAGCCCCCCCUCGCGGCCGCCAGGGCUUCCUCGCUCUCCUUAUCAUCUCCAUCUUUAUGACGAGGCUUGUUAACAAGACCAGCGAGCUGGCCACGCACAUCUAUCUCAGCGCUCACGCUCAGCCAAGCAUCGGCCGGCGCGGGGACUAGCGAGGCACUAAUUAAUUGAUUCCUCUGGACAGUAAAAUAUGGCAGCGUCUACACGGAACCCAUAAACAAUAUCUCUGCGGGGUGUGAGUGCAUUGUCUCUCAAAGAAUUUUUCCAUAGGCGUGUGUCAAGUAGUGGAUUUUUCGCCACUAAAGAAAGACCCAAGUGGGACUCAUUUCUCCGGGGCGAGACAGAGCUAGUUCAGUGUCAGAAAAUGCUUUAAGCUGUUACUGCCUCUCCGAAAGUGUUUAGGAGUGGAUUUUGUUGAGAAAAAGUUGGGUGAUGCGAUAACUUUUCCCUGCUGCUGGUGUAGACCUGGCCAACCUUAGGGAUGGGAGUCAGAGCUGAGGGGCUAGGUGGGCCAGAAUCUUCUCCCUGGUUGGCUGAGAGGGAGUGGAGCUGCUCUGUGGUUUGAGAGAGUCAUAGAAGAGUAGAAGACCAGGUCCAGCCUUUGCUUUAGGCUGUCUCUCUAGACUCCAGAUUUUAAAAAUAAAUUUUAAAAAAUGUAAACAGACUUUGGCUUUCAGGAGCAGUGCUUGCCCAGUGCACACCUGAAACUUGCCUGUUACCCCAACCUGCCUGUUACACACCUUGUCAGGCCAUUGCAUUUCCCUCCCGCCGCCCCCUCCCCCCCCCUUUCCAACUGGCAGCCUGGAGUAACUGUAAUAUAUUUACCUUAGGUCUAAAAGAACAAGCCCUGAGACACGGAGGGAAGGGAAGUAACCUAAUUAGAUAAUGUUAAUUCUUUACCAGGCUGUGAUUAUUCAGUCAGACUCCACUGCAAACAGGACUUAGGAUUCUAAAUAUAGACCCUGACUUCAAGAGAUGUAACAGGGAAAUAGAGAUCAGUGACCAGCGAUUAUUGUAUAAAUAGUCCAUGUAGACAUAGAAGGGGUUUUCAAAAGAUGGAAAUAAUAGAAAAACAGGAAAACAGAAAAGAGGCUCCGUUGAUGGAGACUGUCAUUGCCAAAGCGCGAGCUUCCUCCAGCUACUGUUUGCAAAACAGCCAAAUAAACGCGUAUUUUAAAUACAAUAAUACGCAAGCUCAAAGAAUUUACUUCCCUGGAUUUGGUACCUGCACACCAUGUAAACAAACUAAUUUACAGGACAUAUUUUUCAUACAUUGGGUAGAUAUUCAAUUUGUAUAUAUAAUGAUGCCUUUUCCAUGUACUUUUUAUGUGGAUACAUUAAUAUCGGGAUGCAUUUUCCAUGCAUGAUUUUAUACGUCCUAUGGAGUGUAUACAUCUAUGUAGCUCAAGAGAUGCGGGACUGUGUAUUCCCGGUGUGGGAUGGAUAUGCGAGUGUACUGUUUAUGUAAAUGAAUCUUUACAUGUGGUGUUUAUCCAUGCUAUGUGUGACCUUUUCCCAGAUGGUUGCUUUCCCGUGCAAAUAAAAGUGCCUCUGUAUGUA